rnacentral:rRNA from 1 species
GAUGAACGCUGGCGGCGUGCCUAAUACAUGCAAGUCGAGCGAACAGACGAGGAGCUUGCUCCUUCGACGUUAGCGGCGGACGGGUGAGUAACACGUAGGUAACCUACCUAUAAGACUGGGAUAACUUCGGGAAACCGGAGCUAAUACCGGAUAAUAUUUCGAACCGCAUGGUUCGAUAGUGAAAGAUGGCUUUGCUAUCACUUAUAGAUGGACCUGCGCCGUAUUAGCUAGUUGGUAAGGUAACGGCUUACCAAGGCAACGAUACGUAGCCGACCUGAGAGGGUGAUCGGCCACACUGGAACUGAGACACGGUCCAGACUCCUACGGGAGGCAGCAGUAGGGAAUCUUCCGCAGUGGGCGAAAGCCUGACGGAGCAACGCCGCGUGAGUGAUGAAGGUCUUCGGAUCGUAAAACUCUGUUAUUAGGGAAGAACAAACGUGUAAGUAACUGUGCACGUCUUGACGGUACCUAAUCAGAAAGCCACGGCUAACUACGU